rnacentral:rRNA from 1 species
AUUGAACGCUGGCGGCAGGCCUAACACAUGCAAGUCGAGCGGAUGACGGGAGCUUGCUCCUUGAUUCAGCGGCGGACGGGUGAGUAAUGCCUAGGAAUCUGCCUGGUAGUGGGGGACAACGUUUCGAAAGGAACGCUAAUACCGCAUACGUCCUACGGGAGAAAGCAGGGGACCUUCGGGCCUUGCGCUAUCAGAUGAGCCUAGGUCGGAUUAGCUUGUUGGUGAGGUAAUGGCUCACCAAGGCGACGAUCCGUAACUGGUCUGAGAGGAUGAUCAGUCACACUGGAACUGAGACACGGUCCAGACUCCUACGGGAGGCAGCAGUGGGGAAUAUUGGACAAUGGGCGAAAGCCUGAUCCAGCCAUGCCGCGUGUGUGAAGAAGGUCUUCGGAUUGUAAAGCACUUUAAGUUGGGAGGAAGGGCAGUAAGUUAAUACCUUGCUGUUUUGACGUUACCAACAGAAUAAGCACCGGCUAACUCCGUGCCAGCCGCCGCAGUAA